rnacentral:misc_RNA from 1 species
CAGAGAUCAUGCCCUUCGGGGUAGACCUCCCACCCUAUGUUUACAUUACCUUUGUUGCUUUGGCGGGCCGUUCAGCCCUGUGCUGAACUACCGGCUUAUGCUGGUAAGCGCCUGCCAGAGGACCCCAACCUCUGAAUGUUAUCGUCGUCUGAGUACUAUAUAAUAGUUAAAACUUUCAACAACGGAUCUCUUGGUUCUGGCAUCGAUGAAGAACGCAGCGAAAUGCGAUAAGUAAUGUGAAUUGCAGAAUUCAGUGAAUCAUCGAAUCUUUGAACGCACAUUGCGCCCCUUGGUAUUCCGGGGGGCAUGCCUGUUCGAGCGUCAUUACAACCCUCAAGCUCUGCUUGGUAUUGGGUAUCACCUUUGGUGGUGUGCCCCAAAAUCAGUGGCGGUGCCAUCUGGCUCUAAGCGUAGUAACUUUCUCGCUAUGGAGUCCUCAUGGUCGCUUGCCAACAACCCCCAAUUCUUUCAG